UUAAUCUACUUUCCUAAAAUAGAGGCAUAUUUUUCAGUAAAACCAGAGCAGGAUCUUGUUGUUGUGAAGGAUGUCUUCAGCUUCAAUGUACACUUGGGAUGUUGAGAAUAGCCAGCGUCAAGCGGCUUGUCAGGACAGAGUGAAAGAGGCAACACGGAAACAGAGCAAUAAUUUUCUCGUUUUCCACACGAGGUUGUAGUUCUGGGGGUGUAAAUGUUUUUACUGACGAGGAUUUCAGUAUGAAGCUCAUGUUGGUUUGAAACUUGGUACAAUCCUUCCACCUCAGCUUCCUGAGUGCCACACUUGCAGGCAUGCACUAUUAAGCCUCCCUUCAAGCUCUUGAAGGUCCAACAGCUGUCUUAUGUCAGUAGCAAGGAAAAUGUUCACAGCACACCGGAAUGCUGCAAGACGGUUUAUGGUGUUGCAAUAAAAGAAAGCAUUGGCAAUGGGGCACAUUAUCUAAAUUAUGCUAUCUCUCGGCAGAAGAGCUGCGCAGCUGAGUGGCUGCAUGCUGUCCUCCCAGAUGGUCUGUGAUGGUAGGAAGCCUGUAUUCAUACCCAGCUUCGUUUCCAGCAGCAGAGCUGAGAACAGCAGCCCUGGCUGGGAACCCACUGUUCUUUAAUCCUUAGAGCUUGAACUUGGCUCUCAGUUGCCUCCAGUGUGAAAAAAAAAAGCCCACUAUUCUAAGAUUUGAGUUUAACUUCAGAUGAAGCAUGGAUAUUUAUGGUUUUCUUUGUUGGUGAUCCUGGAAAAAUCUUCAGAGAAAUUGUUGGGAAUGAAAACCUAUCUUUCAAAUUUCUUGGUAAAAUGCAGGUGUGAACAAAAAAACUAAACAUUUUCGUGGCUCUUCCAUUCCAUGUACCCUUCCCAUCAAUGCCUUUGAUAUGUUUGUAACAAACUGGAGCAUACUAAGUAACUGGGAAGGAGAAUGGGUCGUUCUGUGACGUUUGGAAUCUACAUUUGGUGGAGGAGCUGGGAUGACCGCAAAGCCCGGACUGUUAACUAUACGUGAGGUCAGAGCGUCAACAACUUCCAAGAAUACUAGGAGUGAACACCAGGAAAAAGCUAAAUGCUAAAUGUCAAAAGGCACAGAGAAAUGUCUUUACUGGAAAUAGCCUGACGUCUUUGGAGAGGCUGUGGUUCCCGGUACAGCAGUCGAGCAGAGGGGAAGAAACUCAGCGUUCUCUCCAGACGUGUUGUGUUUGUGCCUGUGAGCUGAAGGCUGUUUUUCUUCCUAUUCUGAUGUCGAGGAGCAAAUUCCAGGACGGACAUCACAAACACAAAAUUCAUCGUUGAGAAGGAGAAUGACAAAACCCCGCGCUUAGUGUGUGUGAGAAGCUCUUCAUAUAAGCUUGUAUGCCAUUAUGUCUCUGCCCUGUGUGAAGUCGGAUUCCCCUGCAGACGAAGAUCUCAAACAUGGAAUGUCCUCUUACAAAACCUUUUAUUACUUGAGCACAAUUUAAUAACAAACUUACCCCUUGGGAAGCCUUCCAAACCUUGUCAAUAUUUUUGUCUUGGAGCCAAAAUGUACUUCUCUACCCCAAAUGACAGAAAUUAUAUAUAACACAGACAUGUAGUCUCCCUGUCCUUGUCACCUUCCUUUUACAGACUCUCAGCCAUCAUUGCAUGUUGGUGGAAUGGAAAUCCAGGAUCAGUUUUUACCGUAACUAUAGGAAACAAUGCACAUUUUUUGAAGUAUACAGAAUUAUAUAUGACUCCAGGCAUACCUGUUUACUGAGUUGUUGACUUGAAUAGGCCCAGUUCCUUUCAUUAAGUCUUAAUUUUCCCAUCUGCAAAACCCUUCUGCAGAAUUAUGCAAGUAGAAAUAAAAUUAAAUAAAAUAAAAAAAUUGGUACUAAGUAGA